rnacentral:misc_RNA from 1 species
GAAAUGCGAUAAGUAAUGUGAAUUGCAGAAUUCAGUGAAUCAUCGAAUCUUUGAACGCACAUUGCGCCCGCCAGUAUUCUGGCGGGCAUGCCUGUUCGAGCGUCAUUUCAACCAUCAAGCCCCCGGCUUGUGUUGGGGACCUGCGGCUGCCCGCAGGCCCUGAAAAACAGUGGCGGGCUCGCUGUCACACCGAGCGUAGUAGCAUACAUUCUCGCUCAGGGCGUGCUGAGGGUUCCGGCCGUUAAACGACCUUCAUAACCCAAGGUUGACCUCGGAUCAGGUAGGAAGACCCGCUGAACUUAAGC